CAGGGGCCGUUGACAUUUAGGGAUGUGGCCAUCAAAUUCUCUCUGGAGGAGUGGCAAUGCCUGGACACUGCUCAACAGGAUUUGUAUAGGAAAGUGAUUUUAGAGAACUACAGAAACCUGGUCUUCUUGGGUAUUGGUUUCUCUAGGCCAGAUCUGAUCAACUGUCAGGAGCAAGGAAAAGAUCCCUGGAAUAUGAAGAGACACGGUAUGGUAGCCACACCCCAGAAAGUAGGGUAUUGAAAUUUCCUACUAUAAUUAUAUUGCUGUUUAGGUGUUUCUUCCUGUCUGUCAAUAUUUGCUUUAUAUAUUUGAA
rnacentral:lncRNA from 1 species